GAUGAACGCUGGCGGCGUGCCUAAUACAUGCAAGUCGAGCGAACAGACGAGGAGCUUGCUCCUCUGACGUUAGCGGCGGACGGGUGAGUAACACGUGGAUAACCUACCUAUAAGACUGGGAUAACUUCGGGAAACCGGAGCUAAUACCGGAUAAUAUAUUGAACCGCAUGGUUCAAUAGUGAAAGACGGUUUUGCUGUCACUUAUAGAUGGAUCCGCGCCGCAUUAGCUAGUUGGUAAGGGAACGGCUUACCAAGGCAACGAUGCGUAGCCGACCUGAGAGGGUGAUCGGCCACACUGGAACUGAGACACGGUCCAGACUCCUACGGGAGGCAGCGGUAGGGAAUCUUCCGCAAUGGGCGAAAGCUUGACGGAGCAACGCCGCGUGAGUGAUGAAGGUCUUCGGAUCGUAAAACUCUGUCAUUAGGGAAGAACAAAUGUGUAAGUAACUAUGCACGUCUUGACGGUACCUAAUCAGAAAGCCACGGCUAACUCCGUG
rnacentral:rRNA from 1 species